rnacentral:lncRNA from 12 species
GCCCCGAUACUGGUUUAAUUUACCAUUCCUUUUUGCUAAUUUGAGGUGAUUUGGGGGUUUUACAGUGCCAAAUCUUUCUCUGUGAAUUUUAUAGGAGUGGAAUAGAGGUUUCAAAAGGAGAAAGGCUGACUUUUUGAUCUUCAGUUCACCUGGCAGAUCUGCUAUGAGGAAGAUUUUGGAAAAAAGGAGGGAAGGAAGAAGAGGAUCCUCUGCCCACCCUUACCAGGACACCCAGGGUCUGCUGCUGCACCACAUCUCUGUAAGGAAUUAUAAUCCUAGUGGGACAUCUAUCCCUGCUUGCCUUUGGCUUAUCUUCAGCUUCGGGCCCUAGCAGAUGCUCUGCAGCCUUUCCACAAAUGUUUGGGAAGAGAAGCCAAAGUUAGGCUCUUUUGGCAGGGUUUCCACAACAAAUCCCCAGCUCCCAGGGAAGAUGGAUGUCAUUAACCCAGGCUGAGUCCACGGAGGGGUCCUGAGGCUGGUGCCAGGGGCUGCUGCUGGGGGCUCGCCUCCAGCCAGCAGUGUAAACUGAGGAGGAAACAAAGGCUCUCCCCCAUCCUUGCCAGCUCUUGUUCUCCACAAAGAGCUGGAAAUCCUGGCUGUUC